rnacentral:rRNA from 1 species
AGGACGAACGCUGGCGGCGCGCCUAAUACAUGCAAGUCGAGCGAGAAACUCGGGGCUUGCCCCGGGUGGACAGCGGCGAACGGGUGAGUAACACGUGAGCAACCUGCCCUCAGCUCUGGGAUAGCUCCCGGAAACGGGAAUUAAUACCGGAUAUGACCCUGACCGACAUCUGUCAGGGUGAAAGGUUUACCGGCUGAGGAUGGACUCGCGGCCUAUCAGCUAGUUGGUGGGGUAACGGCCUACCAAGGCGACGACGGGUA